rnacentral:pre_miRNA from 15 species
GCACGGACUAUGCAUAUUGCCGCCUACAGAAGCAUAGAUUUCCACAAACCAUUCGAGGUGUUUGUGCAAAUCUUUCGCGACUGUAGGCGGCGAACAUGCAGUUUUU